AAACCUAAAGGCGCAAUGAAAGUGAAGGCGCGCCUUGCGCGCGCCGAGGGAGGAUGGGCGCGGUUACGUGCCGCGCCCCGCACUCCCGGGGCGUCUCGUUCUCAUCGCGAGAAGAGGCGCACCCAGAGCGUACACGCUGGGACCCGAAAGAUGGUGAACUAUGCCUGGUCAGGACGAAGUCAGGGGAAACCCUGAUGGAGGUCCGUAGCGAUUCUGACGUGCAAAUCGAUCGUCGGAACUGGGUAUAGGGGCGAAAGACUAAUCGAACCAUCUAGUAGCUGGUUCCCUCCGAAGUUUCCCUCAGGAUAGCUGGCGCUCGCUUUUGCGAGUCUCAUCCGGUAAAGCGAAUGAUUAGAGGCAUUGGGGUCGAAACGGCCUCAACCUAUUCUCAAACUUUAAAUGGGUGAGAUCUCCGGCUUGCUUAAAUUUUAUUUAUGAAGCCGCGAGAUCGGAUCAGAGUGCCAAGUGGGCCAUUUUUGGUAAGCAGAACUGGCGCUGUGGGAUGAACCAAACGCGGAGUUAAAGCGCCUAAAUCGACGCUUAUGGGAUACCAUGAAAGGCGUUGGUAACUUAAGACAGCAGGACGGUGGCCAUGGAA
rnacentral:rRNA from 1 species